GCUGGGAGCAGAGUAAAGUGCAGAAGUCGGAACCCAGGGCUGUGUAGAACUCUGGCGCUAUGCGGUACCUACCGUGCCUGUUGCUGUGGGCAUUCCUACAGGUCUGGGGACAAUCUGAAGUCCAGCAAAAGAAUUACACCUUCCGCUGCCUGCAGACUUCUUCCUUUGCUAACAUAAGCUGGUCCCGCACAGACAGCCUGAUCUUGCUGGGGGAUCUGCAGACACACCGUUGGAGUAAUGACUCAGCCAUCAUCAGCUUCACGAAGCCAUGGUCCCAGGGCAAGUUGAGUAACCAGCAGUGGGAGAAGUUGCAGCAUAUGUUUCAAGUCUAUCGAGUCAGCUUUACCAGGGACAUACAGGAAUUAGUCAAAAUGAUGUCACCUAAAGAAGACUAUCCCAUUGAGAUCCAGUUGUCUACCGGCUGUGAAAUGUACCCUGGGAAUGCUUCGGAAAGCUUUUUUCAUGUAGCAUUUCAAGGAAAAUAUGCCGUGAGAUUCCGGGGAACAUCUUGGCAGAGGGUCCUAGGGGCCCCAUCUUGGUUAGACUUGCCCAUCAAAGUGCUCAACGCUGAUCAAGGGACAAGUGCAACCGUGCAGACGCUCCUGAAUGACACCUGGCCCCAGUUUGCCCGUGGUCUCCUAGAGGCAGGGAAGUCAGACCUAGAGAAGCAAGAGAAGCCAGUGGCCUGGUUGUCCAGUGUCCCCAGCUCUGCACAUGGCCAUCUGCAGCUGGUGUGUCAUGUCUCUGGUUCUACCCAAAACCUGUGUGGGUGAUGUGGAUGCGGGGUGACCAGGAGCAACAGGGUACUCACAGAGGUGAUUUCCUGCCAAAUGCUGAUGAGACAUGGUAUCUUCAAGCAACCCUGGAUGUGGAGGCUGGAGAGGAAGCUGGCCUGGCCUGCAGGGUGAAGCACAGCAGCCUAGGAGGACAGGAUAUCAUCCUCUACUGGGAUGCCAGGCAAGCACCCGUGGGCCUGAUCGUCUUCAUAGUACUAAUCAUGCUAGUGGUGGUGGGUGCUGUAGUCUACUAUAUCUGGAGAAGGAGAAGCGCUUAUCAAGACAUCCGGUGACUCUUCCUUACACCUGCCUCUCCUGAAAUUCAGACUUUCCAGGCUCUAGGACUUCAGUCCUGGUCUGCUCAGGAUCUGGGGAUGAAAGAGAGGAAUCCUGAAGAAGUGAAGAGCAACCAGUAUGCUCCUUUAAAUUUAGGAAUAUUACUUCCUAAUUAAAUUAAGAUCAAUUCAAA